GGGAAGCUGCUUGUUGGGGGCCUUCUGGCUUUUCUCCAUCAGGUUGCUCUCCUGGGGUGGUCCUGCAACAGCAUGAGUGCGGGGACACUGCAGAGAUGAAAGAGGGUAGCGUGGUGGGUCCAAAAUCGGCUCCAGCAGAACAUUGUGUUUGAAAAGCUGAACAGAAUCUUUGGGGAGAGCUCAACACUGAGAAUUACCAACACACCUGCUGCCUGUUUUGAUGUGAGCACCAAAGUACAGUGAGAUAUAAGAACCAAGAGAGCUGGCUUAGAAACUACAGUUCUGUGUGCUAAUGUGCAUGGAAACUCUAUUAUGCAAGAAGAACACAAAUACUGGCUCAAACAUCUGUCUUCAUACUGAUGCAGCAGAUAUGUAAGAGAAAAGGCAGUUUGGAAGAAUGCUGAAGAGCUUGAAGUCACUGAAAUGUAACAUACCUACUAAAAUACACACAGCGAUUAAUGUUAUUGUGAUACAAAUCAACUAGCUUGUAAAAAAAAUUGUAGGACCACUGUUGAAAGCUACUGUAUUUUCCUUUGCUCCUCCGAAUUAAUAUCCUACAGAAACAGAAUGGUAGUUGAAGAUUUCUACAUUAAUAGCAUUAUGGUUGUGGUAAUAGUAACUGCAAUGGCAGCUGCAUAAACAAAAUGUGGGAAUGAAGAAAAAGAAAUGUUCAUAGUAAAGCAGGAAGCAAAGGCAUCAAACAGAAGAAAAAAAAAACCAGAUGGGAAUCCUGGCUGAGGUAGAAAAGUUUGAGGUUAAUAUUUAAAACAUGUCCUCACUCUGCAUGUUUUGAAGGUGUCCAUUUCCUUCACAUGGGUACACUAAGCAGAAACAUGUAAUAUCCCUCACAAAGGAAGAAACUCAUAGACAGCAGUUGUCUCUCUUUUCUGCUUAACAGCUGCUCAAUAUCAUUUUUCUCUGUAGUCUCAAAGUAUUUAUGUACCUUUGAACUCUUCAGAAGUAAACAGGGGAUUUGAAACAGGGGAGAAACUAACAGCAUUUAUGGGGACAUGAUUUGUUAAUGUCACAUUGUGAAGAAAAUUAAGGGAAACUUUGAAGAAUUAUAAUUUUAGGCCCUGUUACACAUCACAGGAUAUAUUAAACUUGAGUUUGCAGAUUACAAGCAAAUUAGAAGAGUCACCACCCUUGGCCUGAUACUCCUUGGCAAAUGAUGAUAUUCAACAAGUUACCUCACACAGUUUUACACAAAGAAAAUUCUUUGCAGAGAGCAGUAGUAUUUAUGAAAUCUCUUCCAUGCCAGUUAUGUGACUAGAACUUGAAUAAAUAAAACCAAUGAAAAUAUCCACUAGGAAUAGCAAAGCUGUAAAAUAUUUUUUCCACUGGGUGUUUACUUGGCUUACUCUUAUUUGGAAGUAUAUCUAGUUAGGAGGCAAUUCCAGAUGUACAUAAGAAAAGAUUUUCAUUUCCUUCCCACCCUUCCACCUCCUUGCCAAAUAAAAAGACAUUUUAAGUAUUUUAAGUACAUUUAAGUUAGAAGGCUUUGUUUUCCAAAAUAUACAUCUGUCUUCCUCAGAAAACAAAACAAAACAAAAAAAAAACCAACAAAACAAACAAACAAAAAAAACCAAUGAAGCUUCUUUGGAACUUCCUGAUGUAUUGUGUAACAGCCCUGAGGUGUUCCUAAAUUCAUCUCUCUACCAUGGAAUACAAGAAGCCCAGCUUGUUCCUGUGAGGGACUACCCUGUUAUUAAGCUAUUCAGCUGUAAUGAACAGAGUUAAGAGGUCAGCAGAAACUGGCCAAGGUUUAAAUGCUGGUGGACAUUUUCCACCACCUCUGUGAAAUUCUGCUACUGGAUUUGAUCAACCUGCAAUUUUAGUAGAGCAUUCUUCUUUACAAAGUGAACAAUUUAGGGAUUAUUCCUGGUAGCGUUGCUGCAGAAUUCAUGUCCUUUUUUGCAGGCCAACUGAAUUUAACAAACAAAGCGGCAAAAGCAAAAGCAAAAAUUCAUGUGACAAGUUUAACUGACCUUAAUAGAGAAUCACAUUUCUUCUUCAAGAAUCAUGAGUUGCUCUAGAAGCAAUUCAAAGCUAAUGCAACUUUUGAAGUGAAAUCAUUAUUGUUAAGUGUUUACUAAGUAGUUAUUAUUUCAUCCCUAUGCUAUCCAACAAUGUAUUUUCCUCACUGGAUUCCUCAUGGGCCACAGAAAGCUUCACCACAUUUGUACAAGGCUCAUAUGCAGGCCACAAAUGCCUUGACAGUGGUGAAGAAGGAGCACUGCUU